UUGAAGCCUUCUCGGCGGGAGGGGCAGUCAGCCGGCAGAGCGAAGCAGCACAGGGUGUAGGUGCGUUUUGCCCUCCUUCCCUCGUUCGUCCCUAGGAGCCACCGUCGUGCUCCCGGCGAAGGGGUGUUACCCUGGGGCGUGGGGGCAGCUCUCCCGGAACAUCUGAGACCCCGUCCUCCCCCGCGCUGUCCUUUGAGCCACAACAGCGAGGCCUCGCUGGGUCGCCUCCGGGUGCCGCUCUUCCCAGUACCUGGAUCAGGGUCCUAGUGGGCGGGGCCCAGCCCCUUAACCACCGAGCCGGGGUAGCUGAGGGGUAGGGGCGGGAGGCAGGGCACAGGACCCACGCGAUUGACUACAGGUGAAAGGGCCGCCGAAGCCCAAAGCUGAGCGGGAAGAGAAAGGGAAUGGGAAGCGAGUUACACCGUCUAGGAAAAGGAGAGUACGCGGAUAAAUGAUAGGGAUAGAAAAUAAGUUACAGGAGGAAAAACUACUACGACUCCGCCGGGACUCGAACCCGGAACCUUUGAAUGCCUUCAGCCUCUAGAAGUCCAAUGCGCUAUCCAUUGCGCCACGGAGCCACCUGUUGGAGUUUUUGCGCAUCUGCUAUAUUAAACCAGAGGCAACGGCCCGGCGCCCUUCCAACCGCCCCUUCAGAUGUAGCUCAUGGCAGCUGCCACCAAACGUGAGCUGUAAGCGCCCGUCUUCCCGCAGCGACUGCCUUUCAACCAGAUCAGCGAGCGCCGCGAGCGAAGGGACGCCGCGAGUCGGCCGCGUCCCGGCGGGUCCAUCUGAGGGCAGUCUCAGCCUGGCCUCCGACCCGCCCAAGCCGACCUACCCAGUGGCGCACAACAAAUCACUCCCGAGCUCUCCCUCCCCUGCUCCCUUCCUGACGGAGCGCCCCGCCUACCGGGUCUCUGCGGCCCCGGCGGAGCAGGCCGUAGGUCGGCCGUUGCGCCGUUAAGCCAGGCGGGUAACACCGUGCACUUACGUCGCACCUUUUAGCGGCCGAUCGCGAGCGGCGGCCCCUCGUGGAUUCCGGGCUCUUCCCUGGUCGCCCGUGGCCGAGACCCGCUGCUGCGAGCGCGGGCCGCGGCGACGUCUGUGCUAACAUGUCAAGCUUGCCACAGUUUCAUGGAUGCUGACAGAACACACCAGACUACUGAACCAGAGAUGAAAGACUAUUACAGCAAAAGCAGUAGCCAGAGUGUCAACAUGUUUGUGUUGGUUCCCUGAACCCCAGAAACUAAGCAGAACUCACAGAAACUAAGCAGAUGGGCCCAGAUAUGUGUUUGCACAUAGGUUGCAUUACAGGAGAGAAAUGCUAAGCUUGGGGAUCCCACCAUUUUAUAGCAAGCAGUAAGCAAGCCUGCUCUUUGUCCCAUAGGGAGACAUUCCCUCAUCUCUCAAGGUUGCUCACAGCAAGAAUAUGCAAGAACGGGGAAGGCCGAUGGCAUUGUCUCUCCAUACAACGUACUUAUAAGAGGACUGGAUGUCAAAUCAGGAGACCUGAGCGCUAGCCUGGUUCUGCCACUUACUUAAGCCUCAUCGGAGCACUAGCUUUACAAAGUGAGAGCAUUUGUAAGCACCUGUCAGCGUGAUGCUCCUUCCUCGAGCAGGUUCAGAACUCCAUUCAUUGAGUCGUUGGUUCUCAAGACUCUCCAGAUCCCCCAAACGUGAGGAUCCACAAAUGCUCCAGAGAAUGGCUCAAGUUCACUUCUACAGACGCCUCUGCUUGGAAGAGUAAAUCUCUGGACAGGAAGCGCCCUGUGGUAUGAAGCAAUCACACAGCAAACCUGGACCUGACCGCAUCACCUUGUGAUUCCCGCCACUGGCAGCUCGUACCGGCUCCUGGAGGCGCCCAGACGCCGGGCGUCCGCAGCUCCGAGGCUCCAGCGGACAGCUGCCCAGGCUGAGCCGGGCGGAUGCGCCCCUGAGUGCCCUGUGCGUGACGUCCCCAAGCAUCGACAUCAAGCCAUUAGGUAAUUGCCAUCCUCUGAUGUGUUCACAGGGACGUUGCCAGGUUACAUGCCAGCCUAUAUCUAUAACCCCUCCCCACCUGAUGCCUGCCCAAGGAA